GGAUGUGAGGACAAUCUGGCUUUUAUACCUGUCACCCCAUUGAUCUCCAGGGUUGGUACCCCAUCGCUAGGUAGAUGUCUUGCUCCCUCAACAUUCCAAGUGUGUCCCUCCUGAAGCUGUGUGCUCGGUAGAAGAGGACGACCUUCCGCAAUAGAGGAGGACUUUUCUUUGACCAAGGGCAUCCCAGUAGCUGUGCUUUCCUGCUAAAACCUCCAAACAAUCUGGGUCCAAAACUAAUAAUGAAGUUAAAAAAAAAAAAAAAAGUUUAUUAAAAUAAAAAAUCUUCUCUUACAAAGAUUAUGUCUAGUUU
rnacentral:snRNA from 1 species